CAAAGGCUUGGUCCUGACUUUACUAUCAGCUCUAGCUAGAUUUACACAUGCAAGCAUCCGCCCCCCUGUGAGAAUGCCCUCUUCGUCCUCCCUUUCGAGAACAAGGAGCUGGUAUCAGGCACACAUUGUAGCCCACGACACCUUGCUUUGCCACACCCCCAAGGGAACUCAGCAGUGACAGACAUUAAGCCAUUAGCGAAAGCUUGACUUAGUUAAAGCUAAGAGGGCCGGUAAAACUCGUGCCAGCCACCGCGGUUAUACGAGAGGCCCAAGUUGAUAAGCAUCGGCGUAAAGGGUGGUUAGGGAAAACUAUACAAUAAAGCCGAACAUCUUCAAAACUGUUAUACGCCCUCGAAGAUUUGAAGCCCCACCACGAAAGUGGCUUUAUAUAACCCCGAACCCACGAGAGCCAGGAAACAAACUGGGAUUAGAUACCCCACUAUGCCUGGCUGUAAACAUUGAUAAAAUACCACAAAUAUUAUCCGCCCGGGUACUACGAGCACUAGCUUAAAACCCAAAGGACUUGGCGGUGCUUUAGACCCCCCUAGAGGAGCCUGUUUCUAGAACCGAUAAUCCCCGUUCAACCUCACCCCUCCCUGUCAAUUCUGCCUAUAUACCGCCGUCGCAAGCCUACCCUGUGAAGGAACCAUAGUGGGCUAUACUGGUAACACCCCAAACGUCAGGUCGAGGUGUAGCAUAUGGAGGGGGAAGCAAUGGGCUACAUUCACUGCAUCAGUGAAUACGAAGGAUGCACUGAAAAAAGCAUCUGAAGGUGGAUUUAGCAGUAAGAAGGGAGCAGAGUGCCCCUCUGAAACCGGCUCUUGAGCGUGCACACAUCGCCCGUCACUCUCCCCGAACCCGUCUAUGCUAGUACUUAACAAUAAGGACAUCACCAAGGGGAGGCAAGUCGUAACAUAGUAAGUGUACCGGAAGGUGCACUUGGAACAUC
rnacentral:ncRNA from 1 species